ACAAAGUUCACUGACAGUGAACAUUUGUGUUGUAUCAGAGACUCUAGAACUGGGGACUCUGACAGAGAGACUCAUUGUGAUUUAUGAUAAAUUUCUGGAUGGCGGCAUUUUUAGACAGUCGUACAAAGGCUGAGAAGAACAUCAAUGCGUUAUAGUCGGAAAGCUGGAAAUGCCUAUAUAAUAAAUGUUCAUCAAACAGAUGAUCUUUAGAGAUCCCUUCCAAGCAAAACCACUCUAUUAUUCUAUGCUACAAUCAACAGAUCUGUAAUCAUUUUAAAAGAAUCUUCCACACUUCUUGAAGGCUCCUGUUUGGUGUACUUUGAAGAUUUUGUGUAGAAAGCUUCCACUUUCUGCUGAAGAAACCCCAAGAAACGUCUGUGAAGUCAAGUCAAUGCUUAAAGCUUCGGCUUCUGUAUUUAAUGGAACCAUUUUGGGUUCCAGUUGCAUCUGUGGAAUAACUUACAGCAAGAGCUAUAACACAAUCCUGCCUACUCCCAUUGUGGUCAUGGUUAAUGAUUGCAGUGCUCUGUGGAAAAGCUUUCAAGGCAGGAGUGUUUGAAGCUUUCACAAAAACCUGCCCCAGUGAUGUGGGAUCCUAACAUUCAGCAUGGAAAUGUUGUACGUAUAGUCAUAUCUGCUGACACUCCUGAGUGUGUGAAGUCACUACGGAAAUCUGAAAAUUUCUGUCAUUUCAUGAAAUAUAUGCUGUGUUACUGAAGCGCAUUGAAAUAAAAGUUCCCCGAGGUAAAGAUGAAUCUAAAAA